rnacentral:rRNA from 1 species
CACGUAGGGCGCGAGCGUUGUCCGGAAUUAUUGGGCGUAAAGAGCUCGUAGGCGGCCUGUUGCGUCCGCUGUGAAAGCCCGGGGCUUAACCCCGGGUCGGCAGUGGAUACGGGCAGGCUAGAGGUAGGUAGGGGAGAAUGGAAUUCCCGGUGUAGCGGUGAAAUGCGCAGAUAUCGGGAGGAACACCGGUGGCGAAGGCGGCGUUCUGGACUGUAACUGACACUGAUGAACGAAAGCCAGGGGAGCAAACGGG